rnacentral:rRNA from 1 species
GACGAACGCUGGCGGUAUGCUUAACACAUGCAAGUCGAACGAGACAAGAUGGAAGUGCUUGCACGGAAAUCUUAGAAAGUGGCGAACGGGUGAGUAACGCGUGGGUAACCUGCCCUAUGGAAAGGAAUAGCCUCGGGAAACUGGGAGUAAUGCCUUAUAAGAUAUAUUUGUCGCAUGGCAGAUGUAUUAAACGCUCCGGUGCCAUAGGAUGGACCCGCGUCCCAUUAGCUAGUUGGUGAGAUAACAGCCCACCAAGGCGACGAUGGGUAACCGGUCUGAGAGGGCGAACGGUCACACUGGAACUGAGACACGGUCCAGACUCCUACGGGAGGCAGCGGUGGGGAAUAUUGCGCAAUGGGGGAAACCCUGACGCAGCAAUACCGCGUGAGUGAAGAAGGUUUUCGGAUCGUAAAGCUCUGUUAUCGGGGAAGAAAAAAGACGGUACCCAAGAAGAAAGUCCCGGCUAACUACGUGCCAGCAGCCGCCGUAA